rnacentral:misc_RNA from 1 species
GAUGAAUAACGUAGCGAAAUGCGAUAAGUAAUGUGAAUUGCAGAUUUUCAGUGAAUCAUCGAAUCUUUGAACGCACCUUGCGCUCCCUGGUAUUCCGGGGAGCAUGCCUGUUUGAGUGUCAUUAAAUUCUCAACCCCGAUCGGAUUUGUUUUCGCAUUCGGAGGCUUGGAUAGUGGAGCGUGCUGGCCCCCUCUCAUGGGUCGGCUCCUCUCAAAUGCAUUCGCGGAAUCGACUUUGGUCCAUUUCGGUCAUCAGUGUGAUAAACGUUGCGCUGUUGGCUAGGAUCGAGGUGCCGCAUACAAUGGUCUUCGGACAAUUUUAUAAACCAUUUGACCUCAAAUCAGGUAGGACUACCCGCUGAACUUAAGCAUAUCAAUAAGCGGAGGA